UACGGAGGGUGCAAGCGUUAUCCGGAUUCACUGGGUUUAAAGGUGCGUAGGCGGGCAGGUAAGUCAGAGGUGAAAUCUCCGGCUUAACCGGAACUGCCUUUGAUACUAUCUGUCUUGAAUAUGGUGGAGGUAAGCGGAAUAUGUCAUGUAGCGGUGAAAUGCUUAGAGAUGACAUAGAACACCAUUGCGAAGGCAGCUUACUACGCCUAUAUUGACGCUGAGGCACGAAAGCGUGGGAUCAAACAGG
rnacentral:rRNA from 1 species